UCCUCGAUAGCUCAGUCGGUUAGAGCAUCUGACUGUUAAUCAGAGGGUCGCUGGUUCGAGCCCAGCUCGAGGAGCAA
rnacentral:tRNA from 1 species